UUCCACACUGUAUGCCUCUAAGACUAUUGACUCCGUAACCAGGCAACCAAAGCUCCCUGCCAAUGUUCACACCUAACAGUGACCAUGCUUGUGGGGCAUCAUCACAUUGGGAUGGGAUCUUGAAGUGUAGCAAACAGUAAGGGUUAACAAUAAACUGAAAAGUGUCAGUAAUUUCAAACUACUAUAAACCAUGAAAACGUUUAAAUGAUUUCAGAAAAAUAAACGGUAAUGUGUUAUUGCUACUUUAAUUUAAUACAACUCUAAUUUAAACGAAGACUGUUACAUUUUAGGUUUGGGAGCAGAAAUAACGAUCUUUAUCAGGGGGCAGAGAUGUUCUGCGUGACUCGACUGGGGGUAAAGCGUUGGAGAUGUAGGAAGUUUUAAGAAGCUGUUAACUUGUUUGUAGCGCUGUGGCAGCCAAGUGGUGGAAAAAGUACCAAGUGAGAUGAACGUGCAAGACUUAAUAUGUUUACAACGUCCUCCGUUUGGGUCUUUUUCCCCCCUUUCAACGUUCAAAAACGCGUAAAUAUUCUGAAUAUAUGGAAAAAUUGUUGCGCGAGGUCAACACUCAAAAUGAGAUAUCUGAGGGCAAACCUAAUGGGGGACACCCUACUGUAAUGUAUCACUUGACUGAGGUGGAGCUAAUGAAGAGAUUGUUUGGGUUGAAGAGGCAAUAUCGUCAGAGUCAGAAAACGAUGCAGAGUUGGGACAGUGAGCGAAGUUUUCACCCUGCAGGGAGUUGAUUUCGCCGCCUCCCCAGUGUAAAGCAGGUCCAUGGGUUCCCCGGAGGGUGCCAAGCUGUCGGUGUGGGUAUGCCAGGAGGAGAAGGUGGUGUGCGGGCUGACCAAGAGGACUAGCUGCGCCCAGGUGGUGAGAGCUCUGCUGCGGGAUCACCUCGCCCACGCCGGGGACACUAGGCUGCUGCACGCCCCGGCCCGGGAUUACUGCCUGGCCGAGAAGUGGAGGGGCUUCGAGAGGCUGUUGCCGCCCGCCACCAAGCUGCUCAGGCUCUGGCUGUCCUGGGGCUCGGAGCGGCGCAAUGUGCGCUUCGUCCUGGUCAAGUGGGACGCCCGGCUGCCGCUGCCCGGCCUCCGGAGCGCCGAGGCCAAGGUGGUGCCGAGCAGCAGCGGCGAGGGUCAGCGAGGAGAGAGGCGUCCGGCCGGCCGCUCCGUGCGGGACCUGCCGCGGGACAAGCAAAGGAGGAUGGUGAGGAAAGCCUUCAGGAAACUGGCCAAGAUGAAGAAGCUGAGGCAGGGCCGGGAGCGCAUGGAGACCCUGGUGCACCUGAUCGUCUCUCAGGACCACACGAUCCGCCAGCAGCUGAGCCGGCUGCGGGAGCUCGACGGCGACAUCGAGCGGUUCGAGGGCCGCCUGCACUCGGAGCGGGUCCAGAGCGACGGGCAGAACUACGUGCAGGAGACCUACCUGCUGGAGGGCGGGCCCCUCCAGGAGUACCUCGAGCGGAGCGAGGCGGUUUACCGGCUCGAGGAGGAUCUCGAGCGGCAUCGCGAGGCCGUCCGGAGGCUGAGCGAGGAGCUCGAGCUGGAGCGCGAACAGCUGCUCGGCGGCGGCGGCGGCGACAACAGCGGCCCCGAGCGGCUGGAGGAAGAGGAGGAGGGCAGCUCGGACAGGCUCCCGGGCGAGCUGGAGAGGACCGCGUGCCGCGCGCGGCAGCUCAGCCGGAGUCUCGCGGACGUGCAGCGCAGGCUGCAGCAGCAGGAAGCCGCGCUGCACGAGAAGGCGGAGGAAUACGAGCGCCUCGCGCGGCAGCUGGAGCACCUCAGCCUUGCCGAAGAGGCGGACGGCGGCGGUGGUGGUGGUGAAGCGCCUGGCCCCUGCCAGAUCUCGACCAAGGGCUCCGUCACAUCUCCGCCUGAGAGUGGCUUCGCCCUUUCGGAGGUGAACGACACCGAUUCAGACACAGGGAUCAGCUCCACUCACAGCCAGGACUCCGAAUCGCCCUGUGUCGGUGUGUUUCCCGGUCCGCAAAACUAUCUCUGAAUCGACCUUUGGUUAAAUUCUGUUUUCUUGUGAACAAACCAGGAGGGACAGUAACGCCCGUGGGACACGACGCAUGAAAGGUCCUACACAUCUUUCAGAUGUUAGAUGCGUCUUUUCAAAAGAAAUGCCUUUAAUAAGUGACUUUAAAUUAAGUGCAGUUCGGAAAUUUGUACCGUUCAGUUUCGAGGGAAGUUGAGACUUGUCCAACUGCAAACCGUUAAUAGUAUUCUGAAACAAAAACAGAAAUUGCUGGGAAAGUAUUCAGAAAUUCUGUCAUUGGGUUGUUACGGCUGGUCGUACAUACUGGGGACAGAGAUUGGACAAAUUCCUAAGCACCAGAUAAUUCCUGAACAAAUUCUUCCCACCUUUUUACGUUUAAAAUUUAAAAAAGGCACUGCUAAUAAAAGACGAGGGACUUGUAGAAAACCAACUGUCAUUCUGUUAUCCAAGGAAUUAGCCAACACCAUUGCAGAGCAAGUGCAAAAACCCACCACUGUAGUUAUCCUCAUUCAGAAUGCCUGAAGCAACAGACUGAGAAGAUUGCACUGUGAACGCACCUUUUCUUAAGUGUAUAAGGUGUUGGAAAUGCAGAUCAUGGAAUCUCUGGUUGUUUAGGGUGAUAAUGGUUUGAAGAUUAAUCUACAAACAGUACACCCCACCUAAGUGCGCAGUUUCCUCUUACACACUUUAUCUUGGACAAACCCAUUCAGAGUAUUAACAUCCAAAGUAAGUCUGCUGAAACUUUACCGCCUGAACACAAAGCACCAGUUGUGCUGAGACCAGAAAGCAAAAGUAGGCAAAACUGCAUGGUAGUAACAGACCAGGACAGCUUUCCUCUUGUUGGAAUCAGUUUAACUCAAAUCCUUUAUUCCUGGAAUUGUGUCAACCAGACUUUCCCUUGCUCAUAACACCCAGGUAAUGUUUAACAGUAUAUUGAUGAUGAAACUAGAGAUUUCUGCCUUAACUGAUUCCAGAAUUUUUAAGAAUGUCUAAUUGUGACUAUAUCCAUUGUAUGCUGUCCUAUUGUAAAUCUUAACGGAAGUUGUGUUCUGAGAAAUGUAGCCAUUUUAUAGGCUCAGGUGGUUUCAUUCCUUGUCGAUAUCUAGCUUCACAAUACCAUUUCCUGGAUGAGCUACAACCAAUACUAAAGAGCCCACUAACCCUUUAAGAAUGCAGAGGAGCAGCCACACAACAGACUUGAGUACUCUGCUUGACAUCCAACCAGUUUUCGGUGUUUCAGGGCUCCAUUCAGCAAGAUUGUCUGAGGUCGAGUAUAAACCCAACACUGCCACUGUUGCACUGAAUGUGGGUGAUAGUGCUGUACUUGAUGUCACCCUUUUACUUUGAGUUCAUGUUCUAGUCUCCACCGACCAAGGCUGAAUUGAAUAGCAUUAAAACCUUUCGGCCUUACUUUGGAGCAGUGCUUCCGUUCGUCAAAGACUCAGUUCUCCGAUUUGUGAAUAAUGAUUCAGAUUUCCUAGAUAUACUGAUAUAAAUGUGUGCAUGUGUUUUAAAUGGCAGUAUUGCUGUUAAAAACCAGUAAUUAUUGCCCAACCCUAAUCGUCCAUGGAAGAAGGCAGUAGCGAGCCACUGCCUUGACAAUGACAUGCCAGGCCAUUUUAGAGGCCAGUGAAAAGCCAAUCAUCCUGCUGCGAUAUUGAGUCAUAUGUAGACCAUACUAAGAAAGAAGAGCAGAUUUCCUAAAAGAUAUUUAUGAGCCAUGGGUUGCUCUGCUAAUCCAAUCAUUUUUGGAUGCUAUCUUAUCCUAAGAUUUAAUUAAUUUAGUUUAAAUCCCCAGCUGCAUAGAAGUUAGUCUGACAGUUUGAUUAAAAUUGAUCAAUCUUAUGAUGUGUUUAACCGUACUAGUUCCCUAACACUCAGGAAUUCAGUAGAGAGAUUGUUGCUAAGGUAUUUGAUGUUCUUCAGUGGAUGUAUAAGGAUGUAUUUUGCAGAAUUAGCUUAAAAUGUAGGUAACAACAUAAAUGAAGCAAACAAAAUUUAUUUCAUUUGCCUUACUUCUUACAACCCAUAGACUGUGAAAGUUUAUGUUCAUUAUCAUCGAAAGGUUAAAAGCAAAAUAUUAGGGAUGCUAGAAAUCUGAGGUAAAAACAGAAAGUGCUGUAGGCAUUUGGCAGGCGUGGCAUCACCUGUGUAAGAGAAACAGUGAAUGCCUUGAGUCCAAAGACUCUCCUCUUCCAUUCCAAAGGAGAGUCUUUGGACUCAAAAUGUUGGCUCUGUUUCUCUGUCCGCAGAUACUGCCAGACCUGCCAUUUCCAGCAUUUUGUAUUUAGAUUACUUGCCUUAUUCUUUCAGUGUUGGUAGAGUCCUUCACUUAUGCCUCAAUUUAACAAAAAAACUACACCAGCAGUCUCUGUGACUGAUAUUACUGUCCAAAAAGCUACCUUCUUAUUAAUUGUCAAAAAUAUAGAGCUCACGUGAAUGAGAUCGAUGCAGGUCUCGGUUGUCAACAGCUGAUUGACAUUCUUCUUGACAACUGUCAUCACCAUCUAUUUCACAAACUAUUUUCAGUAAACAGAAUGUUGUAUGCUGAAAAAUGCCAGGAGAACCUAAACUGGCAAAUUACAAUAAACAUGUUUUGAAGUUGUUAUCAGUUUUCAUAAUUGCAGAUUUGUUAUGUUGCUCCACCUCUGCAUUGUACCGUAGGAAAAAUGCACUGUAUAUUGUUCAUAGGUGUCCUGGUCUGCUUCCAAAUAAUUUGUGUGUAAAAUGUACCAAAUGAUUUCAAGAACGGUUAUAUUGACUCUAUGGUGACACAGCAGUCUCAUCUAUAGUUUGUAUAGGGAGACGACAAAACAUAUACUCAACAAUAUAUUUCUGAGUUUUUUUUAUGAUCUGUUCCAUACUCGAGAUGAAAUUCUGUAAUUCUUAAACAAUAAUCAUAGAUUAUGAAAAUUUUCAGCCAAACAAUUAACAUAGAUGGUCACUGUGUUCCAGUAUCUCUCAAUUCACUUUGUCUCGAUUGUAAAGAAAUAGUUUUCAACAAUAACAUUAACAUAAGGUUUAAAUAAGCUUCAUUUGCAAUGGAUUUCAAAGUGAUGGAAUGUGCAUUCUAUUUGUCAAAAAAAGUCGUUUCAGUAAUCUCAAAGAACAAACUAUAGCAAAUUCCAGAAUAUCUGUUGUACUAGCUUGUUACUAGUGCUUGUUCUUCCAGUUGACAUGAAGCUUGCACUUCAAAUGCAUAUCUGAAUUUUUCUGUCAUGGGUAAGCCAACAUUUUGAACAAAUUAUUGCAAAUUAAAUUUAAAAUGACAAUCGCCUUUCUUUCAGAGUUAUAAAUUUAUUACACUAGACACAAGUUUCUGUAACAAAUUUCUGGUUCAUCUUAACAACUUCUUGCACUUAAAUAUAUUUGUUCAUUGACAUGCUUCAGAAAAGUUAUUAUGUUAAAGGAAAAUUGAUUAUCUUGCUUGACAUUCUGUGCCAACAACAGGGUAAUAGAAUGGAAAGGUUGAUAAGAUGUUAAUAAAAUAUUUUUGAAAGCUUCCUUGGAGCAAUUUCAUGCUACACCCUGUGAAGAAAUCAAUUAUAAUAAGUAUGACUUUGUUGUAAAAGUUAAUCACUCUUUCUGUAUUCUGUUAUUUCAUGAAAAUGUUACCUCCUUUUAUACUUUUGUGAUCAGUUUAUUGAGACUCACUUUGUACACUUGUGUAAUUAUGUUGCUGACUAAAUAAAAA